CCGAGAGUUAGGUGACUGUACCACAAACGGACACACGUGGACGAGAUGAGUAUUCUCAGGCGCUCGGGCGAUGAGUUGUUAAGGAACUAGGCAAAUUAACCCCGUAACUUCGGGAGAAGGGGUGCCCAUGCAAAUGGGCCGCAGUGAAUAGCGUCAGGCGACUGUUUAACAAAAACACAGGUCUCUGCUAAGUCGAAAACGAUGUAUAGGGGCUGACGCCUGCCCGGUGCCGGAAGGUUAAAGGGAGUGGUUAGCGCAAGCGAAGCUACGAACUGAAGCCCCGGUGAACGGCGGCCGUAACGAUAACGGUCCUAAGGUAGAAAAUUCCUUGUCGGGUAAGUUCCGACCUGCACGAAUGGCGUAACGAUCUGACGACUGUCUCAACAACUCGCCCGGCGAAUUUGUGGUUCCGGUGAAGACGCCGGAUGCCCGCCACAAGACGGAAAGACCCCGUGCACCUUUACUAUACCCUAUCAGUGAAUUAUGGGUUGGACUGCGCAGGAUAGGUGGGAGGCUUUGAGAUCGGGUUUUUGGACUCGAUGGAGCCAACGGUGAGAUACCACCCUGUGUAAUCUGUGAUUCUAACCUGCUUCCAUGAUCUGGAAGAGGGACACUGGUAGGCGGGUAGUUUGACUGGGGCGGUCGCCUCCUAAAUUGUAACGGAGGCGCUCGAAGCUGCGUUCAGGUGGUUUGGAAAUCCACCGACGAGUGCAAAGGCAUAAACGCGGUUAACUGCGAGACCUACAAGUCAAGCAGGUGGGAAACCAGGACUUAGUGAUCCGGUGGUUCUGUAUGGAAGGGCCAUCGCUCAACGGAUAAAAGGUACGCCGGGGAUAACAGGCUGAUCGGAGUCAAGAGUUCACAUCGACGCUCCGGUUUGGCACCUCGAUGUCGGUUCAUCGCAUCCCGGGGGUGUAGAAGCUCCCAAGGGUUAGGCUGUUCGCCUAUUAAAGCGGUACGUGAACUGGGUUCAGAACGUCGCGAGACAGUUCGGUCCCUAUCUGUGGUGGGCGCAGGAAAUUUGAGGGGGCUUGGCCUUAGUACGAGAGGACCGGGCUGAACGAACCUCUUGUGAUACAGUUGUCACUCCAGUGGCACAGCUGUGUAGCGAAGUUCGGUUAGGAUAAGCGCUGAAUGCAUAUAAGUGCGAAACCUUCCCCAAGAUGAGAUUUCCCAACCGUAAGGUAAUAAGGGCCGUGGAAGACUACCACGUUGAUAGGACGGGUGUGUAAGAGUAGUAAUACUUUGAGCUAACCGUUACUAAUAGCCCGUUCGGCUUGACC
rnacentral:rRNA from 1 species